GGUCCUGAUCCCUGUGUUCCUGCACCCUGCUCAUCUCGGCUGAGCUCGGAAGCUAAGCAGGGUCAGGCCCGGUCAGUACCUGGAUGGGAGACCACCUGGGAAUACCGGGUGCUUGCUCCC
rfam:Mesitornis unicolor contig76796, whole genome shotgun sequence.